GAUGCUCUUCAGUGGUUUAAAUUCGAAGUGUCAGUGCAGCAGUGGAAGGCUUGGUGAUCAUGGUCUCCUCUGAAGCAUGAAGCUGGCCUCUAUGAUGCAGCAGGUGUGAGAGCCAUCUGGCUGAGACUGGACAAGGGCUGGCAUGAGAGCAGAAGACAUUCGAGCAGUCAGAACCCCUGCGUAUUUUACACUGCUGAACAGCUGUCUGCCAACAUCUGGAGCCACAUCACGGAUCUGUCAUCUGGCUGCAGCACUGGAAGGGGAAACGAAUGUGCUCCUUCAAGCAGCAGUUGUGACAGGUCCCCCCAAGAAAUGCCUCGAAUGACAGUCAGUGCAAGUCCUCUUUUCAGGAUCUACUUGUCAGCAAGACUCUGGUGGUAUAUGCUGGCUGCGCUUUGAAUGAGGGAGCUGCAUCGCACAGGAUGUCCUUGGCAGGAGUGGACAUGAUGCCUCUGAAAUACAUUUCAGGCAUGCCACAGAUACAAGGUUGACCUCCUCUUGGUGAGUUUGCUGGAAAAAGGAACAAA